AAACGAAGAAGAAAAAUUUCAGUUUUUAAAAAUACCCGGCUAUGUGUGGACAUGGCCCUAGAGAGUUGCAAUCAGUUCAGCUCCAGUCCUAAUCAAACACACCUGAAGAAGCUUAUCAAGGUCUCCAGGAUUAUUUAGGCUUCAGGCAGGUGAAGUUUUUUCAGGUUUGGAGAUGAAACCUGCCGGCUUGCGGCUUUCUCGGACCUAACUUACCUCCCCCUGCCCUAGUUAAUUAAUGUGUGAAAGUCCAUAGUGACCGUUAAAACCAGGAGGGCAGGACUUCACACAUCAGAUGAAUAUAAAGGAGGAAAAAUGAAGCAAUGGGAUCAAAACUGAUACAGUAAAGCUCAGAGACUCCUUUCUCCUUCACUACAAUCAUUAAAGGUUCUGCUCUGAAAUGCAACAGAUGUUUUGCACUGAGGACAAGUUGUAACCCUGUUCCUGAAACCUGCAAUAAGGAUCAUGUCUGUGCCAUUUAUUAUGGCCCACCUUCUUUACGUCACCAAGUUUACACAAGGCGGUGUGCCUCUAUCGGGGAGUGCAAACUUAUAAAGCUAUAUGCUGCCUAUGAUGGCCAGUGCUGUGACACGGACUUCUGCAAUUAACUUCAAGUUGAAUCAUGAACCCCUCUGAGAUGAUUUCCUUGUGAUUCCUGUUCAAUAUUCUUUUUGAUGUUUUUUCCUCAUGUAUACAGGAACAGUACAGUUAGUUUAUUCUCUCUGACAAUCUUUUAAAUCAAAUUCUGUAGGUUCCUUUUAACAUAAUAUACACACAUUUAAUCAGUAGCCUUUUGUCAGUGCUGUUUAUGCUGAAGCAUAUUUACUUAUUUUAUAUUUAAUGGUGUGACCAUUAAAAACGAAGUUUGCUUCAAAUAAUUAAUCUGUUGCUAAUUAGUGAAUGUAACUAAUUAAACAUUAAUUCAGGUGAUGCACUACCAGAUAAUCAUUCUUAGUUAAAACUUGAAUGUGAAUGUGUCUUUUCUAUCUUUUCUCAUGUAUUAAAAUUCCUAAUAAUAAAUAA